GCGCCUCUCCCGCCACACCUCCCUGCAAGCUGAGGGAGCCGGCUCCUGCCUUGGCCAGGCUAGAAAGGGGCUCCCACAGUGCAGGGGCGGGCUGAAGGGCUCCUCAAGUGCCACCAAAGUGGGAGCCCAGGCAGAGGAGGUGCCGAGAGCGAGCGAGGGCUGCGAGGACUGCCAGCAGCUGUCACCUCUCGUUACCAUCACUCCUAGUGACCAUUUCGGAUAAUCCACCUUGCCUCAUCAAACCAGAAAACAAUUCAAACCUGGCCUCCUUCUAACUGGAAGCCACAUUUUAAGAACUUAUUGUGAAGAACUGGAAAGCCUCCAAUAGAACAGAAGCUAAAAGCAGAAAUUAUAAAAGCUGUUACACCUACUCAGCUCUAUUACAUGUUGGAAAAACUGAACCAGAGAAACAAUUACAUACACUCUUGUCUUCUGGAAAAGCUGAAUUGGGUUUUGGUCUGAAUCAAUAGGACCCAUUAUACAGGCUGCCUUUCCAGCUCUCCAAUCAUACUUCCAAGAAAACUGCUCACUCUCAGAACCAAGGUUCAAGUUGUACAUUGGGAUUUGGGUAGAGGCUAUAUAUACAGUGAUGCCCAUCUACCCCUGAGAUCUAAAAAUCUAAGAUGAAAACGAGCACACAGUCUUGGCAGCAUUGGGGUAACAGACUAUGAAAGAAGAAAUCAGAUUGGAAAAUUCAGUAUAUCAAUGAAGAAAAUAAUCACUCAAGGAGAGGAAUAAACAGCAAAACAAUCUA